rnacentral:lncRNA from 1 species
CGCUUGUCUCCAGGCGGGUGGAGGCCCAGAUUCUGGCGACUGUUGCUGAGCAAUCCACCGAGGUCCAGCGAGCAUGCCAUUUCCCCUGCCUAGUACAGUACUAUGUUGGGUGGUCAGUUCCCAUCGGGCAUUCAUUCACUCAGCACAGCUGGAGCCCCAGGCGCCUUGCUGGACACAGGUGUCCUCCUUCUUGCCAUCUUCUUUCACCCAUAAGGAGCGUUUCUCCCCACAUCAAGUCCUCAGCUCUGAACAACACAGAAUCAGAAUGACGUCACAUCCCUGGGCAAGAAAUGAGUCCAAGGAUGGUUUUGAAGGCUUCUUCAAGAGGAGGAGACCCUGCCUGUCGGGUGGACCAGCCUCCAGGGACCCGGGCAAAGCUGUCAGCAGUUUAGCUUAAAUGAACAUCCAAAGGCCAA